CAUUCCAUGUCUAAGACAACUCCUUGGAACAUACAUCUGCCUCUUUGCCCCCCUGUAAAUGUUGUUGCAAAGUGCCAGAUGUGUGUGCCAAGAAGUUGUCUUAGGCAUGUUAUGAGC
rnacentral:pre_miRNA from 1 species